rnacentral:rRNA from 1 species
AACGAACGCUGGCGGCAUGCCUAACACAUGCAAGUCGAACGAGACCUUCGGGUCUAGUGGCGCACGGGUGCGUAACGCGUGGGAACCUGCCUUUAGGUUCGGAAUAACUCAGAGAAAUUUGAGCUAAUACCGGAUGAUGUCUUCGGACCAAAGAUUUAUCGCCUUUAGAUGGGCCCGCGUUGGAUUAGCUAGUUGGUGGGGUAAAGACCUACCAAGGCGACGAUCCAUAGCUGGUCUGAGAGGAUGAUCAGCCACACUGGGACUGAGACACGGCCCAGACUCCUACGGGAGGCAGCAGUGGGGAAUAUUGGACAAUGGGCGAAAGCCUGAUCCAGCAAUGCCGCGUGAGUGAUGAAGGCCUUAGGGUUGUAAAGCUCUUUUACCCGAGAUGAUAAUGACAGUAUCGGGAGAAUAAGCUCCGGCUAACUCCGUG